rnacentral:rRNA from 1 species
AAUGAACGCUGGCGGCGCGCCUAAUACAUGCAAGUCGAGCGAGAAGACGUAGCAAUACGUUUGUAAAGCGGCGAACGGGUGAGGAAUACAUGGGUAACCUACCCUCGAGUGGGGAAUAACUAGCCGAAAGGUUAGCUAAUACCGCGUACGCUCCUUGGACUUCGGUUCAGGGAGGAAAGCGAUACCGUGGGUAUCGCGCUCUUGGUUGGGCUCAUGUCCUAUCAGCUUGUUGGUGAGGUAACGGCUCACCAAGGCUUCGACGGGUAGCUGGUCUGAGAGGACGAUCAGCCACACUGGCACUGCGACACGGGCCAGACUCCUACGGGAGGCAGCAGUAAGGAAUAUUGCGCAAUGGGGCGAAAGCCUGACGCGGCGACGCCGCGUGGGGGAGUGAAGGUCUUCGGAUUUGUAAACCCCUUUCGGGAGGGAAGAUGGGACGGGCACCGUUCGGACGGUACCUCCAGAAGCAGCCACGGCUAACUUCGUGCC